rnacentral:rRNA from 1 species
CCGGAGGCAGCAGUGAGGAAUAUUGGUCAAUGGGAGAGAUCCUGAACCAGCCAAGCCGCGUGAGGGAAGACGGCCCUAUGGGUUGUAAACCUCUUUUGUCGGCGAACAAAACCCGGGACGUGUCCCGGACUGCGUGUAUCCGAAGAAAAAGCAUCGGCUAACUCCGUGCCAGCAGCCGCGGUAAUCCGGAGGGUGCGAGCUUUAUCCGGAUUUAUUGGGUUUAAGGGGUGCGUAAGCGGUUCGUUAAGCCAGCGGUAAAAUUGCGGGGCUCAACCCCGGCGAGCCGUUGAAACUGGCAGACUUGAGUGGGCGAGAGGUAAGCGGAAUGCGCGGUGUAGCGGUGAAAUGCAUAGAUAUCGCGCAGAACUCCGGUUGCGAAGGCAGCGUACCGGAGCCAGACUGACGCUGAGGCACGAAAGCGUGGGGAUCGAACAGGAUUAGAUACCCUGGUAGUC